UGGUCAAGCUACAAAAGGUCUAUGUAAGGAUGACUAGGUUAGAUGAGGCGAUGAAGGACGGGGUAAGCACCGAAAUAUUCCGGGUAGCCGCAAACAUGCUUUGAUCCGGAAGUGUCCGAAUGGGGCAACCCAUCACGAGUAACGUCGUGAUAUCCCCGCGAUGAAUACAUAGUUGCGGGGAAGCGAUACCAGGGGAAUUGAAACAUCUAAGUACCCUGAGGAAAAGAAAUCACAGAGAUUCCCCCAGUAGCGGCGAGCGACAAGGGAACAGCCUAAACCUCCGUCUUGCUUCCGCAAGGAAGCAGCGGUGGGGUUGCGGGACCUUGAUAUGGGAUUGUAGAGGGAAAGCAGAAGCGCUUGGAAAGGCGCGCCGUAGAGAGUGAGAGCCUCGUAAGCGAAUUCCCGAAGCACCCUAAAGGUAUCCCAAGUACUACGGGACACGGGAAAUCCUGUAGGAAUCCGGGCCGACCACGGUCCAAGGCUAAACACUACAUCUAAACCGAUAGCGUACGAGUACCGUGAGGGAAAGUUGAAAAGAACCCCGGUGAGGGGAGUGAAAUAGAACCUGAAAUCAUAGACCUACAAGCGGUGGAAGGCCUAUACGUAUGCCGCAAGGCGUGCGGAUGGCUGACCGCGUACCUAUUGAAUAAUGGUCCGACGAGUUACUGUGCGGUGCGAGCUUAACCCUUUAAACGGGGGAAGGCGCAGCGAAAGCGAGUCCUAAUAGGGCGAUUCAGUACCGUAUAGUAGACCCGAAACUGAGUGAUCUACCCAUGGUCAGAGUGAAGCUUCCCGAAAGGGAAGUGGAAGCUCGAACCCAUCAGCGUUGAAAAGCUGUGGGAUGAACUGUGGGUCGGAGCGAAAGACUAAACAAACUCAGAAAUUGCUGGUUCUCCCCGAAACAAUUCUAGGGUUCGCCUCGGGUAAUAUAAAUAACAGGGGUAGAGUAAUGAAUGGGUUGCGGGGCCUUACCAGGCUGCUGGACCCAACCAAACUUCGAAUACUGUUAUUCUUAACCCGGGAGUAAGACGACGGGGGCCAAGCUCCGUCGUCUAAAGGGAAUCAGCCCAGAUCGCCAGCUAAGGUCCCUAAGAAUAGGCUAAGUGGUAAAGGAUGUGAACUCGCUUAGACAACCAGGAUGUUGGCUUAGAGGCAGCCUCCAUUUAAAGAGUGCGUAACAGCUCACUGGUCGAGCGAUUUUGCGCCUAAGAUGACCGGGGCUCAAGCCUAUUACCGAAGCUGCGGAUUUGAAUUUGCCUUCGGGCAAAUCAAGUGGUAGGGGAGCGUAGUCCGACGAGAGAAGUCAUACCGUGAGGAGUGAUGGACGUCGGACUAGUGAUUAUGUCGGAAUGAGUAGCGAAAACGCCUGCGAGAAACAGGCGCACCGAAAGUCUAAGGUUUCCUGGGGAAGGUUAAUCCGCCCAGGGUUAGUCGGUCCUAAGCUGAGGCCGUUUGGCGUAAGCGAUGGAUAAUCCGUUAAUAUUCGGAUACCGGCUGGAUGGCGUUAAAACCGGUGACGUGACGCGGAAGGUUAGGGGCUGCGCAGUGUUGGAUGUCUGCGUUUCUGUACCCGCGAGGGUAUGGAGGGAUCCUGCGGUUUCCAAGGGAGAAGUGUUCUGAUACCAUGCCGCCAAGAAAAGCGUCAUCGGGAGUCGUCCGGUCGUCCGUACCGUAAUCCGACACAGGUAGACCUCCAGAGAAUGGUAAGGUGCUCGAGAUAACUCUCGUUAAGGAACUCGGCAAAAUAACCCCGUAACUUCGGGAUAAGGGGUGCCCCGGCCAGAAACGGUCGGGGUCUCAGUAAAGUGGCCCGGGUGACUGUUUAGUAAAAACACAGCACUCUGCAAACUCGAAAGAGGACGUAUAGGGUGUGAUACCUGCCCGGUGCUGGAAGGUUAAGGGAAUGGGUUAGUAAUCGUGAGAUUGCGAAGCUUUGAACCGAAGCCCCAGUAAACGGCGGCCGUAACUAUUGACUGGACACAGUAGUUGUAAAAUCUGGCUAUAUGCUGGAAAAUCCUGUUAAGCCGAUGGUACAUUCCGAUUCUAUCGGAAUCGUGACAAUUCAUCGGAUAGGGAUAAUCAGCAGGAAAGAUCCGAAAGGUGGUUCUGUAUGAGACCGGAGAUAGGUUAUUAUUUAGCUGGUUUCGCCGAUGGGGAAGGAAGCUUUAAUCUUUCCUUCAGACCUCGGCAAGAUUACAAAUCACCGUGGAAAGUUUCCCUUUGUUUCAAUAUAUCCCAGAAGGAUAAAGUCAUACUCGCAUUAUUCAAACACCAUUUAGGAUGUGGGACAUUAAGGUCCCGGCCCGAUGGAGUUUGGUAUUACGAGGUAAAUAACUUCAAUUCUAUCAGGGAUAACGUGAUACCGUUUUUUAGGAGAUUCUGUUUUCUCUCUGCUAAGAAAAAGCGGGAUUUUGCAAAAUUCUGCCAACUCGCGGAAAUAAUAGAGAAAAACGGAUAUCUUGAUGAAACCGGAAUCAGGAGAAUAUUGGAAAUAAGAAGGGGAAUGAAUGACGGUGGAAAACGUAAAUACCGUGAAAAUGAAAUCAUCGGCAAGUUUCGGAAAUCCUCAGAGACUAUACGCCAGACCUCUGAAGUUUUAGAGGAUGAUAUAGUCCGGCCUUCCGGGAAACCGGAAGAUUAACAAAAGCGAACGGUCCUAAGGUUUUGGAUGGAAUUUCAAAGCCCUUUAUGCUGGCAACGGCAUAUCGAAUCCAACUGUAUCGGUGAAGCCCUUGUAAAAGGGUAAUACCGAGGGAAGUCGUAAAUGACCCCGUAGAGACUACACGUUGGCCCCUCGUACCUUCUUGCGAAAGCAAGAAAGGGGGUGAAGAUAUAGUCCAUACCAAUAGUAAUAUUGGAGAAAUAUGAGCGAAAUUCCUUGUGGGGUAAGUUCCCACGCGCACGAAUGGUGUAACAACUUGGGCGCUGUCUCAACGAGGGACUCGGCGAAAUUGUAGUGGCGGUGAAGAUGCCGUCUACCCGCAUCAAGACGAAAAGACCCCAGAACCUUUACUGCAGCCUGCUAUUGGGUUUUGGUCCAAUAUGUGUAGCAUAGGUGGGAGGCUUUGAUGUCCCGGCGCUAGCCGGGGCGGAGCCGCAAUGUGAAAUACCACCCUUAUUGUAUUAAGAUCCUAACUUCCAGCCGUUAGCCGGCGGGAGGACAGUGACAGGUGGGCAGUUUGACUGGGGCGGUUCCCUUCUAAAGAGUAACGAAGGGGCCCAAAGGUUGGCUCAAGGCGGUCGGCAAUCGCCUGUGGAGUGUAAACGCAAAAGCCAGCUUAACUGUGAGUCCGACAGGACGAGCAGAUACGAAAGUAGGGGUUAGUGAUCCGGUGGUUGAAAGUGGAAUCGCCAUCGCUCAACGGAUAAUAGGUACUCUGGGGAUAACAGGCUUAUCGGGCUCGAGAGUUCACAUCGACAGCCCGGUUUGGCACCUCAACAUCAUGGGGUGGUACCGCAGUAAUGCGGUGCAUGUAUUGGCUAAUAACGGUGGAGCCCAUAUUUACGGGUAAUACCGUGGGAAGUCUAUAGAACGAAAGCAGGUUAUUCAAUUCUGGUCUUUUCUCUUGGUGACAAUCAAUCCUGAUAUAAAUACACAGAUAACUUAACGGUCAAACUGCAUAUUCGAAAUGCGUUAAUGCUUAUCGGGGGUAUUUAUAAAAAGAAUUUUUUGUUGCCGGAGAAAACCAUGUUCUGUAUGACCCCGUAACGACUGAUUGUGUGGAUAUUCUAUCCGGAUAUCGUAGUCACACAUGAGAUAGAACCGGAGGUUUCGGUUUUAUCAUACGCCAACCCCGCCACUGAAACGCUGGCGGGUGAAGAUAUAGUCUAAUCCCGUCCGAAAGGACGGAUACGAUUGCGAUGUCGGCUCAUCCUAUCCUGGGGCUGUAUAAGGUCCCAAGGGUCCGGCUGUUCGCCGGUUAAAAGGGUACGCGAGCUGGGUUUAGAACGUCGUGAGACAGUUCGGUCUCUAUCUGAUGUGGGCAUUAGGAUACUUGAAGGGGAGUUCUCUUCAGUACGAGAGGACCUAGAGAAACGGACCUCUGGUGUCCCAGUUGUCCUGCCAAGGGCAAAGGCUGGGUAGCUAUGUUCGGAAGGGAUAAGCGCUGAAGGCAUCUAAGUGCUAAGCCCCCCCCAAGACUAAGUAUCCCCUCCCGUAAGGGAGUUAAGGCUGGUUGUAGACUACGACCUUGAUAGGCGCAAUGUGUAAGACCCGUGAGGGUUUAAGCUAAUGCGUACUAAUAAGCCGAUCGGCUUGACCUUUUUAUA
rnacentral:rRNA from 1 species